AUGGCCUGGACUGAAUGUCCCUCUUACGAAAAAUGGAGCAGUGCAGACCAUUGCCCAAAGAAGCAAGGAGGAGCAGGAGAAGGUGGAGGCAGACAUGAUCCAGCAGAGAGAAGAGUGGGACCGAAAGAGGAAGAUGAAGAAACAUAUGAGGAUUUUGAUACCAGGAUACUUGAGGUAAGAAAUGUUUUCACUAUGACAGCGAAAGACGGAAGAAAGAAAUCGAUCCGUGCCCUGGUGGCUGUGGGGAAUGGAAAAGGAGCUGCAGGUUUUGCUGUUGGGAAAGCCACUGAUCGGAUGGAUGCUUUCAGGAAAGCAAAGAACAGAGCAGUUCACUAUUUGCAUUAUAUAGAACGAUAUGAAGACCAUACAAUAUUCCAUGAUAUUUCAUGAAGAUUUAAAAGGACGCAUAUCAAGAUGAAGAAACAACCCAAAGGUUAUGGCCUCCGCUGCCACAGGGCCAUCAUCACCAUCUGCCGGCUCAUUGGCAUCAAAGACAUGUAUGCCAAGGUCUCUGGGUCCAUUAAUAUGCUCAGCCUCACCCAGGGCCUCUUCCGUGGGCUCUCCAGACAGGAAACCCAUCAACAACUGGCUGAUAAGAAGGGCCUCCAUGUUGUGGAAAUCCGGGAGGAAUGUGGCCCUCUGCCCAUUGUGGAUGCCUCCCCCCGGGGGGCCUUGAGGAAGGAUCCGGAGCUGGAAGAUGAGGUUCCAGACAUCAAACUGGACUGGGAAGAUGUGAAGACUGCGCAGGGAAUGAAGCGCUCUGUGUGGUCUAAUUUAAAGAGAGCCGCCAUGUAACCUCUCUGGCCUUGUGCAGCCAGUUCCUGUGCUGCCCCGCACCUAGGAGAGACAGCCCCUCACAGCUUGGGGUGUUGCCUUGCCUUUUGUUUGUUUUGAGGAAAGUUUAAUCUUUAAACUCUUUAGCAAUAAAUAAUUAUACUU